UGUUUGGCUAUUUAUACACAGACACUAAUUGUAAUUUAAAAAGCCACAGGUGUGGGAAAUUAACCUUUAAUUGCCAUUUAAACCUGUGUAUGUCACUUUGUGUGUCUGUAACAAGGCCAAACAUUCAAGGGUAUGUAAACAUCAUUGCCAUUUGGGUGAUUUCUGUUACCAUUAUGAUUUAAAAAGGAGCCAAACAACAAUGUGAUGUUGGUGCGGCUAUCCUUAUGAGGACACUCCAUAGACAUAAUGAUUUGUAUACUGUACAAACUAUAGAUUUUAUCCCCUAACCCUAACCCUACCCCUAAACCUAACCCUCACAAAAAACAUCCUGCAUUUUUAAAUUUUCUAAAAAAACAUUGUUUAGUAUGUUUUUUUAAGCAAUUGGAAUUAUGGGGACACUAGAAAUGUCCUCAUAAACCACAUUUUUAGCAUAAUACCCUUGUAGUUACCAGUUUGUAACCUAAAAAAAAUAAACCACCCAAACCCGCCCACACACUCUAUCCGAUGUCAUCAUGUUGACCCCUGGUUGACUUGGUUUAUAGAGAGAGACUCAAAGUGCACCCAUAGACUCGCCUUUACAGCCCAAUGAUUAGCAUUCCCGUAGCUAAAACCCAGACGCUUGAGAACUGGCUGCUGUGUGCUUCCUGCCAGUGUAAAUCAACACUUCCACAUAUUCUCCUUAAGUCCCUCUAAGGGUUAUCCAGGGCAUGUUUAAAAUACACAGGCUAAGAACAUAUACGAGAGGAAAUUGAUUAAAGAUGCAAAUGUGAUAAACGCAUGAUGUGAUUUCAGCAUACUCAAAAACAAACAUACUCAGAACAAAAACUUUUAUUUAGGGUAACUGUUUUUACCUGCAUUACUCAUGAUUUGAGUUCUAUUUUUGCCUUACAAAGCACUUCCCAUUACAAAAGUUAAUGUCUAUGUGUCUGUGUUCUCUCAAGGGGUUUUCCCUUUGAAAUAGGAUCUGAUUUAGGGAGACUUCUCCACGGCAGGUUUAAGGAAGUGAUUCUUCUUUCACCCGAUCAUAGAUGACCAAAGACACUCCGCCCUAGCAAGCACAGAUCCAGUCUAUUUCUCUCCGAACAGGGAUCAGUUUGUGUAAGAGCCAAGGCAGGUGCAGGACAGAGGGAACACAAGAAUUCUGAGAGGAAAGUUCUCGUCACAGGUCAAAUGUUUGAGCGCAAAAGUUAGCGGGCAAACUAUGUGGUAAAUGAAACAAAUACUCACUGCACAUCUAGGACAUGGAGUUGUCUGUGUGUGUGCUUGUGUGUGCACAGAAAGGUGACUAAUUAAAUGAAUACAUUAAUUAUGCGUUAGAUACUAGGCACGGUGCAUGAUUUCUAUGUGUGCACAUACGCUUCAAACAAUUCAAAACCGUGAGUACAAUGGUAAUAAUAUAAAAUAGGCUCACACUGUGUGUGUAAUGACUAAAUGAAAUGAAGCCUGCUGGUUUUCCUAGACUCAUUGUGGCCUCUGUUCAGCUGUAUUUUAGUACAGUGUCAUGCAAAGUGUUUGCAAAAUGGUUUGAUCUGAGCAAAUGAAUGUUGGACAUAAAAGUGUAGCUUUCUCUUGGGCACAGGCCAGGCUUUUCAGAGAAAAGGGGAAAAGCACUUAGUUGUAAAAGUGGGUUGCGCUUUACAUUUUGAUUAGGUCAUUUUUCAAAACAGAAAAGCUUGUGAUUUCAGGUGUUAUUGUGAAGUACCGUGAUCUAUCUAUCUAUCUAUCUAUCUAUCUAUCUAUCUAUCUAUCUAUCUAUCUAUCUAUCUAUCUAUCUAUCUAUCUAUCUAUCCAUCCAUCCAUCCAUCCAUCCAUCCAUCCAUCCACACAGAUUGAGACAUACACAUAUUAACCUGCUAACCGUAUAACUAUACGAACUGUCAGAAAAAAUAAACCAACUCUUGCAUGGUUUGUAAUAAUCAUAUCCAUAAUUAUAAAGUGUCGCCCUUCAGUCAGUGAGUAAAAAUAAAGGCCUCCAUCAUGAUGUCAGUCUCCGCUUACACUUGGAUCACGAUGCACGAGCAGUCGGCUCCAUGGUAACCAGUAUUAAGUGGACACUAUAAUCACAUCAUUAAUUCAGCUUUGUGACCUCUUUGUCUCUAUUUUUAAAAGCAGGUGAGAAGGUAACAGAGCUCCACACUCUUCUGCAAAACAGCUCUCCGCUCUCUCACAGCAGAGCAAUUUUACACCACUGCACAUCAUUGGAGAAGCAGUAGGAGGUCACUUAAUGCCUUUGCUGAGAAAAAAGACAGAGAUUUAAGAGUGAACUUCCUGAAGACAAAGAUGGAUAAUGCUUGUAUGUGGUCUUAGAUUUAGCCUCCUCGGGUGUGCUGUCCAGUGCCAGUUCGUCUUGUGUACCUAGUCAGUUGUUCGGUUCCAGUUGGUCUUGUUGAUGUCAGUCAGUUUAUUCCCUUUCCCCAACUGGUCUGGUUGGUCCUGCCUCCAGUUUCCUUUGCCCCAGUCUGGAUUACUUUUCCCCCUAUGGGAUACUCCAUACACACAGGCCUUGAGGGGCGCUUACACAGAAGCUCUUCAGGGGGUUGUUAGCUGUGAGCUUAGCCACCACAAGCUCUCCAGCUCACGCACUAAUUAUUUUCAUAGUCAGCCGGGUGUGCAGAGCUGGCCUUCGAGUUGUGCAAAUGCUUAUUUAAGCUGUGUAACUGACAUCCAUAUGGUUUUUAUCACCACAAAGAAACGUUUGAACUGGUUACUGGAACUCUGUUUUCAUGCUGCCAAGGCUCUGACCCGUCUUUCAAAAACACUCAUAUGUGCUGCUUUGCUAGGAUAUUCUAUUCCAUAAUGUUCUGGAUCAGCAUAUUUUUUUCCUUCACUGAGUCACUGUUGUACGCAAAAAAAAAAAAAAAGUGUUAAUAAAAACAAAUUCCGA